GUGCUUGCUUUGGCAGCACAAAUUCUAAAACUGGAACAAUACAGAGAAGAUUAGCAUGGCCUUUGAGCAAGAAUGAGAUGCAAAUUCAUGAAGAGUUCUAUAUUUUU